UGCGUAGGUGGUAUGGCAAGUCAGAAGUGAAAACCCAGGGCUUAACUCUGGGACUGCUUUUGAAACUGUCAGACUGGAGUGCAGGAGAGGUAAGCGGAAUUCCUAGUGUAGCGGUGAAAUGCGUAGAUAUUAGGAGGAACAUCAGUGGCGAAGGCGGCUUACUGGACUGAAACUGACACUGAGGCACGAAAGCGUGGGGAGGCAAACA
rnacentral:rRNA from 1 species